GUCUCAGUUCGGAUGUAGGCUGAAACUCGCCUACAUGAAGCUGGAGUUACUAGUAAUCGCAGAUCAGAAUGCUGCGGUGAAUACGUUCCCGGGUCUUGUACACACUGCCCGUCACACCACGGAAGUUGGGGGCGCCCGAAGCCACUUAGCUAACCCUUUUGGGAAGCGAGUGUCGAAGGUGAAAUCAAUAACUGGGGUGAAGUCGUAACAAGGUAGC
rnacentral:rRNA from 1 species